GCAAUGCAAGUUCAGGGGAACUCUUUCCAGAAAAAGGUGACAUUACUCUUCGGGAUUCGCCAUGCUGUAGAGGAAAAGUCUAAUGGGCCAAGUCAAGGGGGACCAAGACAAAGAGCUGAAGCUUUGGCUGCCUUGUCUAAUGCCUUUAAUUCAUCUUCUGAUAUGACAUCCAGUAUGUCAUAGGAUAGAUUGAAUGGGCUGAAUCAAGGAGGAC